rnacentral:misc_RNA from 1 species
UGGAAGUAAAAGUCGUAACAAGGUUUCCGUAGGUGAACCUGCGGAAGGAUCAUUACAGAAUGAAAAGUGCUUAACUGCAUUUUUUCUUACACAUGUGUUUUUCUUUUUUUGAAAACUUUGCUUUGGUAGGCCUUCUAUAUGGGGCCUGCCAGAGAUUAAACUCAACCAAAUUUUAUUUAAUGUCAACCGAUUAUUUAAUAGUCAAAACUUUCAACAACGGAUCUCUUGGUUCUCGCAUCGAUGAAGAACGCAGCGAAAUGCGAUAAGUAAUAUGAAUUGCAGAUAUUCGUGAAUCAUCGAAUCUUUGAACGCACAUUGCGCCCUUUGGUAUUCCAAAGGGCAUGCCUGUUUGAGCGUCAUUUCUCCCUCAAACCCUCGGGUUUGGUGUUGAGCGAUACGCUGGGUUUGCUUGAAAGAAAGGCGGAGUAUAAACUAAUGGAUAGGUUUUUUCCACUCAUUGGUACAAACUCCAAAACUUCUUCCAAAUUCGACCUCAAAUCAGGUAGGACUACCCGCUGAACUUAAGCAUAUCA